rnacentral:rRNA from 1 species
AGCUGGUUCUCCCCGAAAGCUAUUUAGGUAGCGCCUCGUGAAUUCAUCUCCGGGGGUAGAGCACUGUUUCGGCAAGGGGGUCAUCCCGACUUACCAACCCGAUGCAAACUGCGAAUACCGGAGAAUGUUAUCACGGGAGACACACGGCGGGUGCUAACGUCCGUCGUGAAGAGGGAAACAACCCAGACCGCCAGCUAAGGUCCCAAAGUCAUGGUUAAGUGGGAAACGAUGUGGGAAGGCCCAGACAGCCAGGAUGUUGGCUUAGAAGCAGCCAUCAUUUAAAGAAAGCGUAAUAGCUCACUGGUCGAGUCGGCCUGCGCGGAAGAUGUAACGGGGCUAAACCAUGCACCGAAGCUGCGGCAGCGACACUAUGUGUUGUUGGGUAGGGGAGCGUUCUGUAAGCCUGUGAAGGUGGCCUGUGAGGGUUGCUGGAGGUAUCAGAAGUGCGAAUGCUGACAUAAGUAACGAUAAAGCGGGUGAAAAGCCCGCUCGCCGGAAGACCAAGGGUUCCUGUCCAACGUUAAUCGGGGCAGGGUGAGUCGACCCCUAAGGCGAGGCCGAAAGGCGUAGUCGAUGGGAAACAGGUUAAUAUUCCUGUACUUGGUGUUACUGCGAAGGGGGGACGGAGAAGGCUAUGUUGGCCGGGCGACGGUUGUCCCGGUUUAAGCGUGUAGGC